AAGCAGCUGCAAUUCAAGUGUCACAGUGCAUGCCUUUUUGGCUCAGCAGUUGAUAGUUCUGCUUCGUGCUACUCUCCUUCCCCAGACUCCUGGGACCAUCGCAUAGAGGGUGCUUGAGACAUGCUGCACUGGACGAUGCACACACCCCAUCUCUCCAACAUGACUGUAAGCCCCUUUAGUUUUACAAUAUGCAAAACCUUAGCACAGAGCUCUACGCAAUUAAUAUUGACCAAUGUUCAUUGAUAAUAAGGUUCUAUAAAAUUUCAGAGGCCACCAGGAUGCAUCACAGUCCUGACCCCAAUGCAGGAGACUGAAAGUCACCAAGGACUGAGACAUGCUGUCGAGCCACAAUCAGAAGAGAAACUGGAGUUGAAGAAGAGCCAGAUGAAUACCUCUGAGAACCUGCCAAUCCAAGAAUAUUGCCCGUGGAUCAAGCAGAGUUUGGGUCAAAGUGUUUCAGGAAAAGGAGCAUCAUGCGUGAAGGUCCCAACAUGGUACGGUUGGCGUAUUUGAGAAUGGAAAUAAGAUCACUGUAAAGAACAGCCCAGUUUGAGGUUGCAGAAGUACAGAGAGCCCAGAUUGUAGAAGGCCUUGUAGACUUCAGUGAGGACUGGGGUAUUUAUUGUAAGGACAAUGAGAAACCACUGACAGAUUUCAAAACAGCCAUGAUUCCCUAAACAUUUAAUCAUUAAAAGAUCAGAUUGGUUAUAUUAUGGAGACUCAAUGAGAAAGAGUAGAUAUAAAGCAGAUCAGUUAGAAAGUUAUUCCAGGAGUCCCGUUGGGAUGUGGUGCUGUCUUGGUGGUAAUAAAAAUAAAGACAAUUUCACAGAUUUAAUAAGUGCAUGGGAAGUCAAAUUGAUAUGGUAUUGUGGUUACUGAUCAGACUUCAAUAAACCAAAAGGCCGUGGUGCCAAGGGCCAUCCCUAGAACCAGCCUGUAGCAUUCAUGCCCCAGCCUGCUCUGACUACAAAGCUGAUGCUCUAUAAAAAUCCAAUCUUCUUCCA
ensembl:lincRNA